rnacentral:lncRNA from 1 species
CGCUGGGGCUAGAGCCGAACCGUGCGCACCGCGCGGUGCCCAAGUUUGGAUUCUCAACCGCAGAGUCCGUGCCUUCCCUCACCUGCAUUCGGCCCGCGUGUUGGAGCAGUGGGAUCUGCAGCGCUGUGCGCGAUUCAGGGAGGAGAUUGCAGCCUCUCUCUCUCCGCGCUCUCUCGAUCCCUCCCCUCCCUCCCUCCUUCUUUCUCUCCUCCCUCCCCUUCUCUCUCCUCCCUCCUCUUCUUUCCCCUUUCCCCCCCUCUCACUCUCUCUCUCUCUCGCACAGUCUCUCAGCUUCUUCCAGUUUCAAUUCAGGGAGCCGAACUUGAUCCCUUUGCAGUUCAAAGCUAAUUCUCAGCAUCGUCUCCAAUUGACUGUACUUAAAAAGAGAAGAAAGAACCUAUUCCUAUAGUGUUAUAAACUAAAAGACGGACUUAUAAGAUGCAAAGGUGAGCAUUUAGAUUGACUAAUUCGGAAAGCAUUAUGUGUUUUGUUCUAUAAGUAAAUAACAGAAAUGAUUAGCAACAGUAUCUAUGGUUGACAAUGUGAAUGUACAUCCAGCACUGAAAUUAUGUUCUUUUGGUUCUGAGGGUUUCCCUGUCUUUCUCCCCAGAUGUUAGAUAUAGCUUAAGCAUUUCCCUCUACUUGCAAGGGGAAAAUUGCUCCUACCUCCACCUUCCCCAUUCUAUAAAGCUUUCCUUUUCACAGAACAAAGAAAAAUCAUUGUCUCUAAUCUUCUUUUAAAAUACAGGAGACAAAUUUUAGACAUAAAGCAAAGGAUUACCAGCCUGAAAUCUUCAUCACCAAAGGAAUUAGAAAACAAGAAGGACUCUAAGAGAAAAAUGCAUGGACCCCGGAGAAGGGGAGGGAGCAGGAUCUCAUGAGCUAAUUUGGGGGGC